CCAGGGCCGUGUCCCGGCCGGUCCCGUGUCCCGGCGCGGGGCUGGGCGCGCGGGGACUCACGGCCUCAAGGGACACGGCCCGAGCCGCCACGUCACUGCCCAACGCGCUCCUCAAAUGCCCCUGGAAAUGCAGACGGGGGAAGCCGUCCGGAUGCGUUAGGCAGUGCCAGGGCCUGCGCAGACAGGCUGUCGGGAUCCUUUCCCGCAGGCUUUUCCAGCCCCGACGGAAUGAAGACCUGGGCAGCCCGGUCUGACCUAAUGGCUGAACCUGCCCAGAGCCAGUGGCUGGACCGGAGGCCUCCCGGGGCCCCUUUCCCACAGAAUUAUCCUGUGAUCCUGUGACACCGGAUCAUAAACCCUCCUUCCAGUUUGAGCUGUGCCACCACCCUGGCUGAGUGCUGCUGGAGCUCUGUUAGCAGGUUACAUGAGCAGGACUGGCCGGAAAAGCCAUUCCUCUUGGAUCCCCAGACAGCUCAAAGACCUCCCUGUUCCACAUGGGGAUGGGGACUAACCUACCCAUUCUAGUACCAGCUGGAGGGCAGAGGUGGGAGAUAGACUCUGAGACAUAGGACCAGGGGACUCGGUCUCCUCACAGACACACGAACAUUACCAUUAAAAGUUUCAAUUUCAACAAAAUACUAGUAUUUGCCAACAACAAACGCCUCAACGGCAAGUUCCCAGCCAGCUCUCAGUCCCAAAGUGCAUGUCCCGGGACACCGGCACUGACGGGAAGGCUGAGGAGCCACCUCCUUCUCCCCCUGUGCCUGACCCCGAGGCGCUCUCUCCCGCCGGCUCCACGCCGCAGUCCCUCGCACGAGGACCGGGAUUGGCCCCGUCAGCCACCGCACCCAACAUUCCUGCCGCUACACCCCCUCCAUGGGCUGCACCGAGAGGAGUGACUGCAGCUAGGGGACAGGGGACAAGACGGACAGGCAGCCCUCAGCACCCGGAUAGCUGGGGACUGGAAGGUGUAACAGCGGCGGCAGCUGCCACGCUGCUUUAAGGCUGGGUACCCCCUGCGCUCCCCUGAGUUCACGUUUCCUUUCUCCCCGUGGAGUCGCUGCCAGCCCCAGCCCUGCCCGCGUGGCAGGGACGGGUGCGUGCGGAGCCGGCCGGCCCUCCCUGCUGCAGAGCCAGCGGCAGCUGGGCCUCACCUCCCUUAACCCCGCCAGCCGAAAUCAGUACAGCUGAAAUUUUCCACUUGAGACGCACACAAGACCAGAAUAGAUUUCCAGGGUAUUCUUUUUUCCCCCACUAGCUAGAGGAAGACCAGGACACGCUUUGCAAUGUUUGCUUUUAAAACACCCUCCAGAAGGGUUAAGGGAGUCCCCACUGCAUGGACAGCCCCACAGGGAGAGCCCCUGAGGCUCCAGGGUGUCAGGCUGGGGGCACUGGCUUGGCCACUGCUGCCCUGGCAGUCUCAGCCCUUCAUCCCUUGGGACUAUUGACCCAAGUUCUAUGGAGACACAGUGAAUUUUUCCACAGUGCUGCUGCAGUGGCUGUAGGGGCCAUGUGAGAUACUGCGAGGGGUAUGGACAAGUCGGGAGUGCCGGCGCUGCCACAAGCAGCGGAAAGGCAGGAACAGAAGAGGGAUUCCCAGCUUCAGCUCAGCCCCCAAAGCAGCGUUUUGUUUGGAGGCUUGUGAUUAAAAAAA